CAUUAAAUGACUGAAAGCAAGUAAUGGUCUCUUAAACCAUUCAAUAGUAAAUUANCACUUACUUUUAAUG
rnacentral:tRNA from 1 species